rnacentral:rRNA from 1 species
GAUGAACGCUGGCGGCGUGCCUAAUACAUGCAAGUCGAGCGAACAGACGAGGAGCUUGCUCCUCUGACGUUAGCGGCGGACGGGUGAGUAACACGUGGAUAACCUACUUAUAAGACUGGGAUAACUUCGGGAAACCGGAGCUACUACCGGCUAAUAUAUUGAACCGCAUGGUUCAAUAGUGAAAGACGGUUUUGCUGUCACUUAUAGAUGGAUCCGCGCCGCAUUAGCUAGUUGGUAAGGUAACGGCUUACCAAGGCAACGAUGCGUAGCCGACCUGAGAGGGUGAUCAGCCACACUGGAACUGAGACACGGUCCAGACUCCUACGGGAGGCAGCAGUGGGGAAUCUUCCGCAAUGGGCGAAAGCCUGACGGAGCAACGCCGCGUGAGUGAUGAAGGUCUUCGGAUCGUAAAGCUCUGUUAUUAGGGAAGAACAAAUGUGUAAGUAACUAUGCACGUCUUGACGGUACCUAAUCAGAAAGCCACGGCUAACUACGUG